rnacentral:tRNA from 1 species
GCCAGUGUGGUGUAGAGGUUUGAAUGUUGGACUACGACUCUGGAGACCAGGGUUCAAAUCCCUGCUUGAGCA